GAUGAACGCUGGCGGCGUGCUUAACACAUGCAAGUCGAACGGGAAACAUUUUAUUGAAGCUUCGGCAGAUUUAGCUUGUUUCUAGUGGCGGACGGGUGAGUAACGCGUGGGUAACCUGCCUCAUACUGGGGGAUAACAGUUAGAAAUGGCUGCUAAUACCGCAUAAGCGCACGGAGCCGCAUGGCUCAGUGUGAAAAACUCCGGUGGUAUAAGAUGGACCCGCGUUGGAUUAGCUAGUUGGCAGGGCAGCGGCCUACCAAGGCGACGAUCCAUAGCCGGCCUGAGAGGGUGAACGGCAACAUUGGGACUGAGACACGGCCCAGACUCCUACGGGAGGCAGCAGUGGGGAAUAUUGCACAAUGGGGGAAACCCUGAUGCAGCGACGCCGCGUGAAGGAAGAAGUAUCUCGGUAUGUAAACUUCUAUCAGCAGGGAAGAUAAUGACGGUACCUGACUAAGAAGCCCCGGCUAACUACGUGCCAGCAGCCGCAGUAA
rnacentral:rRNA from 1 species